GGAGAUCUUGGAUAUUUUUCUACCACGAAAGUAGUAAGCUGCUGAGGACAUCAGCCUUGAAGGAGGGGAGUAUGUAAUACCCAGCCCAAUAGUAUUCCAGUAUUCCGGUUUCAGCCUGUUGUGGCCCAAGUGUCCUGUUCUGGUGCAAUUAGUUUCACCUUUGUAGUCUAAGUAGGUUUAGGCCAGCUUAUAAGCCUUCGUGUUACAAACAUAGAUCCUCUAUAUUAUCUCUU
rnacentral:lncRNA from 1 species